UACGGAGGGUGCAAGCGUUAUCCGGAUUCACUGGGUUUAAAGGGUGCGCAGGCGGAUUGCCAAGUCCGUGGUGAAAUCUCUGAGCUUAACUCAGAAAUUGCCGUGGAUACUGGUAGUCUUGAAUGCUGUGGAGGUAAGCGGAAUAUGUCAUGUAGCGGUGAAAUGCUUAGAUAUGGAGGAACACCAGUGGCGAAGGCGACUUUCUGGUCUGUAACUGACACUGAGGCGCGAAAGCGUGGGGAGCAAACAGG
rnacentral:rRNA from 1 species